UAGAGGGUCUAGUCGCGUGUCUUGCCAGGCACGUGCUGUAGUGGGGAGUGCUUCAGUGUGGAAGAACCCCUAAUGUGUCAUAUCAGUAAGGUUUAAAAUCCUAUAUCACAACUCGAUCGUCAGAAGGUUGCGUAUAUGGUAAUAUAGAAUGGGGAGGGAUACGAAAAUGGACCGUAUGUUGCUUGUGGGUUGGAGUUGGGAUGAUUCGUUGGUGACCACGUGGUAAUCGUGUGAAACCGGCUCAGGGUAGGUUUCCCACAGUUGUAUGCACCUUGCACCUUUUUCCUGUGAUGAUUUGGACUUGUGUUUAUGCGUGGGUGAGAGAUAAAAGUGAAUUUGGACAGCUGCCUUGACACAGAAAUACGUCGUUUCAUGCACGGGAACAAUUUUCACGAAAAUCUAUUAAAAAUAAUCUGUCGGAAACUGCAGUCCACUGUUAGCAUUAAGAGGAUCGUGGAUUGAACACAUCACACGCUCUCGCGCUCAGCAGCUGCUGUUGAGUCCUCCACCGUCUCGCGAUAGUAGCUAAUUUGCAACAUAUCCCAUGGUCUUUAUAAACAAUAUCUGGGUUAUUCUUGAACCUUCAUUCAUUUCCCAGUCAUUAUAUUUAGCGUAUGAAGAUUUCAGUCUUCUGGGUUGUUGCGCUGUGUGGUAUGGUCGAUGUUUACCAACGUUUCUGAGGUCAUAUUGCCUCCAUCAUCAGGGCGACACAGCGGUGGGUAUGAAGAUUUCUGUCUUCUGGGUUGUUGCGCUGUGUAGUCUAGUAGAUGUUAACCAACGUUUCAGAGGUCGUACUGCCUCCGUCAUCAGGGCGAUGAAUUUGCCAAAUUCCCCCGAAGGUAAAGCGGUCAGGGAGUAUUGACCGUUCAUUUCCAUAUAAUGCCGAGAAGCUAUACCUCCACUUCUCCAUACGUCUUCACAUCAUCACAACUUAAUUAAUCUUUGCGAAUUUUGUGUACCUGGUUUUGAUUAAUUAUUUUGUCUGUGAUGAUGGAUUUAUUCCAGUUAUAGUUUAAUUUCUUGUUUUCAAGAGUAGGCGCAGGUGUGGAUCUUCUGGUGAAGGUAAUGCAUAUUUAAUUGCCAUUUCGUGAGGAGUUAUUUUUCUAUUUUGCUGUAUACCGUUUUGUUUCUUCUGUUCAAAGGCGUGCACAUUCGUGUUCAGUAGUUUCUUGUUUAUCUAUAGAUAUCUUAAGUUAUCAUAUUCUAUUGCGUAACAUUUUGUACGCUUGUUAGGAGUAUUUACAAGGAUCUCGUAACCUGGUCUUGAACGGUAAUCGUAUUUCCUGCCUUUCCAGCAAAAUAUUUCCCUGUUUCAGUCACACUUCUCAAUCGUGCCUGUCCACAUGAGAUUGCGAAGGUGCGGCCAGAGCUUGAAGCUACCCACUCACCCUCAUUUAGUGCCGAGAUUAAGAUUGUAUGGAACUAUAUCUCUACUCCCACACGAAUCUGUAAGGCUUAGUAAAGCACCAGGACGUAUUUACCUUUACUUUAUAUUUGCUUCUGUUUUAUACCCGUUUUUCAAUUAUUUUAUAUGCUUCAGAGAGCUCUUCGCUUUCUGUAGCACUGCCAGUAACACCAUUUCCAGCACAAGGGUCUCUAGUAAAAAUCGGAAACUUCAAUUAGUCACCAUAGCGGGGGGACCUGGAGCGUGCCACCGGGUAAUCCCCCGUUUCCCAGACACGCUGUAAAAUCUCCGGGAGGCAUCGACGUGACGGAACAAUAGGCUGCUUCACAGUGAAGGCGAUUAAAGGGGAGAGUGAGAAUAUAAGGAAAGUGUGAGGAAGAAAUGGGAUAGAUGGGGUAGGAGGAAAAUCUCUGUGGGCCAAAGGAAUCUGAGGAGUGAGAUUUGAGGUUUUCACGGCGAUGAGUCCGAAGAAAGUUAGCUGUCUUCUGGGUUGUAGGGCCGUGUAGUCUGGUAGAAGUUUGCUAACGUUUCAGAGGUCCCUGCUGUCUCCAUCAUCAGGACGAUGAUCAUCUGGACCUCUUAAACGUUGGUAAACGUCUACCAGACUGCACGGCGCUACAACCCGGAAGACAGCCAUCUUAAAAUUUGAGGAGGUAGAUGACAUGUAUGAGUGCAGGAUUAGAAGUGAUUUUAUGGCGAAUGUUAAUGUACUUUGCGGUUGUGGAGGAUUUUAGCCUCUUCUUAUUUCUUUAAUACAGCUAAUAAGAUAUUACGAGUAGAUGCACGGCAAAUAAAUUACGUCGGCUUAUAAAAUGUUGAUUUACAAUUAAGCCUGUUCACCUCUUAACAACACGCAAAGUUACGAUUUCGUAUUUCACGCAUUUGAAAUGUUUUUUUUUAUUUUUCUCUCCCUUUUUUAAUUAUCAUACAUAUUUACGUUUAUGUAAGUCGCACAAUUUGUGAUUAUCAUACAGGAUGUUGUAGCAAGUAGCUUAUUUCCACGCUGUGCGUACCGUUUUUUUUAAAAAAAAAUUGUCUGUUUUUUAUGAACUUAACCAUUAAUGAUUUGAAUGCUGCAGCGAAAAUAAACUUGGUGAUUUUUGUCACGACUGUAUCUGAGCGAGUAUUAUCGGCUAAAGCAGUUUGUUUAUAAACUUUCAACAUCUGAGAGAGGCACAGGUUGAGUGAACACAGUGUACUUGGUUAGUAUCAAUAAAAUAAUCAACUCGGCUAAUUGGUGAUUUAUUAAUUAGUUGGCCAGGUAGAAGCUAUUUAAGUUCAUAAAUACGUUACUGCUCUUUUGAUUUUGACUAGAAUUUUAUGAAAUUACACAAACUUUACCGACUUCACUGUCAGCUGCUGAUGCAUAUGUAAAACAGGAAUGGCAGGAUUAAAAAGCAGCUUAUCUGUCAAAUUUUGUGCUAGAAGAUACCGAAUGUUACCGUUGAACAUAAUACGGUUUGAAAAUGAAUCGAAAUGUUAAAAGAACGAAGAGUGAAUAUAGUGAAAUACAGAAUUCAAUGGCUGCAACAACAGACAUUUCAUGGGGUAGACGUACACGCGACCAACGUGACGCAGUACGCCAGUCUAUUGUUAGCCACGCGACUCCAUGGCAUGGAACGAGAAACAUUAAUGCAAAAGUAUAUGCAGAGAGACUUUCAUAAUAAUAAUUGGAAGUUGGUUACACUUCAGAUGUUGAGGGAAACUUGUGCAAAUUUGAACUAGUCGACCAUCAACUGACAGGGUUACGUCACUGUAAGCUAAUCGAUAAAUUAAUCGGAAGAAAUUACUUCCACCAAACCGUUUCAGGAAGUUCUGAAUCUCAAAUCGGAACUUGAAUGUAAGUUGUAAUUUUUCUAUUUGUAUUUUAUUCGUUCUUCAGGAACAAAAAGUUUUGUAAAGAACUUAAUGCAUCAACUCCAUUAUCUAGUCUUUCUUUAGAAGUUUCAGUGGUUCACCUAGUAAAGAAAUUGUCUGAAGAUUCAUUCAUUACCGUGUUCACAAGGUCUUGCAACGGGGCCAUGUCCUGAGCCAGACAAAUACAAUCCACAUCCCCAAGCACUAUUUCUUUAUGAUACAUUCCAUAUUAUCCUCCCACCUCAGGCUUGACGUCGUUAUCGGAAAUUCAGUACGUGAUAAAUACUAACUGCGAAGUUCGACUGUUCUGUAUCAGGCCUGUCAUAAAUUGCUCAUUUAUUUCGUUCGUCGUACAUUCAUUUACUUUAUUCCUUAGGCACUUACUUUUGAAACACUUUUAAUUUAGUUCUUUUAUCAUAGUAAGGUGCCAAGUUUCGUAUAGAUACAAAACAAGAGAUAAAAGUGUUUUAAAAGUUUUAACUUGAUGUUUAAUGUUCUGGAAAAUGGGCGGUAUGAUAGGAGUUUUUGAACUGAAUAAUAAUUUAUAGAAUUUUGUUAAUUUCUUAAUUUCAUCGUGAAUGUCGUCCAUAUUUGUUACAGUUAUUCCCAGAAAUAUUUGGAAAAAUUCUGACAUGAAUUGUAACAGAGGUUUAUUAUCAAAUUUUUGCAGAUUCUGCUUUCAUGUCGUAAUUAUAUAUUUAGGCCUGCACUUGCUUAUACAUUUUUCCUGACGAGAGAAAAGGCCUGAACAAAACUUUCAUAUACUCCUAUACCACUUAUCACAAUCAUAAGAUACAUUUAAUCUUUUCGUUGUUUUAAACCUCCUUCAGAGGUCAUACCACUAGCAUAAGCUAUUAAAAUUUUUACAAGCUUGUUACGUUAAAAUUAUAUUACCUCUUCAAUUACCAGCAUUUUGAAAUUUUGCACUGAAAUUUUACUUUUGGAGAUCUUCCACUAUGCAAAUCCUUAAUAGCGCUUCGCAGAAGAAAUUCCAGAAGAAACAAAAUUUCUUGUGGUCGCCCGAUUUCACACAAGUUCUCCUUGCUUGGAGAUAUGACGCAACUCUCAGAACACGCGCGAGAGCAUGAGCUGAAGAGAUUUUGAAAACUGAAGACCGCUGUGUGUUAGCUGCAAUAUGCAGGGCAAACACUGGAAGACGCGUGGCGCGCACGGGUCAGCCACGUGGCACGUACGUAUGCGUCAUAGAAAUAAACUUAAUGAAACUUGGCAGUACACACCAACCAGCUGCAUAAACCACUCUUAUGUGUUCUCGUUAAUAACAUUUUGCUUUUUAGUAUUAGUCUAUAAACUUAAUUCCUUUUUUUCCCCUUAUAGGACUGCCAUGAUUCGUCAUAACUAUUGUUUGUGUCCCUCGUGACACCAAACAGUCGCAAACAUCACGAGGCGAUAUUUUCCGAACAUGUGGCUACUUUAAUAUUCUUGGUAUGGUUCAGUUCAGAAUAAUACAUAGUUUUAUUUUCCCGCGUUCUUCCUCAGAUUACUAUCAUCAACUUCAGGGACUCGAUUUGUUAGUCUGUUCGUAUUCCAACAGCGAUCUCCCGGAAAAUUUCUCUCCAUCUUUUUAUGGAUCUGCCUCUUUCUUGUUUUACCUUCGGGGAGUACUGUAGAAUAUUUUUUUGUGAAUCUGUGUUGCACAUGACACUGCCAGUUCCCGUAAUAUUUUUGAAUUAUUUAAAAUAUGUAUGAUUUGAGGUUUUCACAGCGGUGAGUAUGAAGAUUUCUGUCUUCUGGCUUGUUGCGCCGUGUAGUCUGGUAGAAGUUUACCGACGUUUCAGAGGUCCCUGCGGUCUCCAUCAUCAGGGCGAUCAUAAUAUAUUUGUUACUUGUUGUUGUGAAUAUGUUAAAUAUUAUUAUUGUUGAGUUGAAUCUGUAAUUGGUCGCUCUAGCUGUUCAGUCAUCACGUUAAAAUAAAGAAUUUAAUUAAAUUAUUAUCAGUAUUAGUUAUUUUUUCCGAGUUUGGGAGGCUGUAAUCUCCAGAUUUCGUUAAUAUAAAAUGUUGGAUUUUGAGGAUAUUUAACUCGUGACCCACGUUCACCCAUUUCCCAGUUCGUAUGUUUCUGUAAAAAUGUUGCUUAAUUAUAUUGUUUUCUUUUAGGAGGGGAGAGAUUUUGUGUCGUAGGACACGUCUCAUGAGUCACUUCCGUUUUUCUUGUGAUUUUGUUUGCAUCGAGACUCGACUUCUUCUGCGCGUCCGGACACUGAUCCCCCCACAGAACUGAAUUUGCAACCUUAUUGGUGUAGGGGGGAGUAGCUAAGGGAGGUUAUCUUUGAUGGUGACUUUAUCCAAGUACUGCGGUAUAAAAGAAGGGCCGACUUGUGCUGGUUGUCAGCUGUGCUCUGUUGCGUCGUAAGGGAUUCUAAGGUAAUUAGACCCGUCAGGCCACACUGGAACGUCACUGCAGAUGUGAGUGUGUGGCAGCGAUGGUGUAAAAGAGUGAAUUAACGGGUAAGUCAGUAUUGGAGUGAAUUUUUGAAUUAUAAAGUGAUUGAGCGAGCGAGUAUUGUGAAUGAGAGACGUGACAGUAGGUGGCGAACGAAUAAAGCCUCAGAUAUUCAGGAGUGUUAGUAUUCACUCCUAAUAAUCCACUGGAUAUGAAAAUUUAUCAGUUGAUUGGAUGCGGUGAUAAGGUUUAAGUGGAAAUCAAUAAAAUUUUUGGAAAGGGGAGCGAAACAGAUUGAAGGUACGAAUAUGGAUUGAAAAAUUACUGUAUCUGAAAUGGGAUGAAGGUUAAAUCAUGUGAAUGUUUCUAAUGUGAUUUAGCUUUAAAUUACACAAGAGUAACAAAAUUUAAACGGUGACUAUUUUGAUAAGUUGUAUUAUAUUUAUUUGUUUUGAAGUGAAACAUUUUAGAACCAAGAAGUCAGGAAUAAAUUGACUACAUUAUUAGGGAUCAACGGUUUUAUAUUUUGCAAAUACAUAAAUAUGUUAAAAUAUGGUAUUUAUUUUCGUUUUGUAAACCUCUUAACCCUGGGGUGUAGCAGUUGUCGGUUUCAACGAAGAAUUAGGGGUUGUUUUCAUACGAAUUGUAUUAAUUAUAUUGUAAUUUGAUUCGCACGCAUUUGGAAUACGGAGCACUGAACAUCAUUAAUCUAUAAAAAUGUAUAAAUGAUCCAGUCGCAGCUAAUUGUUUCAGGAAUAAGGAACGUCAUGUCACACGAUUGUCCAUCAGGCUAUAACAAAUGGGACUGACGGGAAGAUAAAACAGCGCUCAACCCUUGCAAUGUACAACGUAAGGUUCAAUCGAAUUUAAUGCCAGAACUUUGACACAUGAGUCGGGAUAAACUUAAAUUCAAGAACAGUUUCCUUUUAGCUCUUGCUUUUGGCUUUCAGGAGACCGACAGCUGACAAAUCUGUGUUAAUUGAUGCAGACUGGAGCAAUUUAUCAGCAGCAUGCAUUGCCUUCUGGGUCUUUUUGUAAACCCAGUAAUUAAUAUCCAGUCGCUAAAUCACUAUAACAGUGUUGCAUUUAGGCGUACAUUUCGGUGUUUCGAUUGUCUUCUUGCCACCAACAGGACGAUAGAAAUUAUGUGUAGACGUGCCAUUUAAACUCAACCCAAAAACGGUCACACAUUAUGGUUUAAGAACAGAAUCAGAAACAGGCCCAUCUUAAUGUAAUAAUCUCUCCAAUCUACCCUAUGACGCUCGAUUCAAGGCCACCAUUGUUACUAGGCCGCUGCUCAUGCCUUUAGCGCAAGAACUGUGCAGGUUCUAACAUUGUGUAUUCAUGAGCAGAACGCUUGUUCUUUCACGUAACAUAAUUUCGCAUCGAAAUCGUUUGCAACUGUUUGAGAAACAUCUAGCAAUGCGUAUUCUGACAAUGAAGUACUGUAGAAGACAGAAAUACGACCGACAGGUAACAAAAUUUCGGGACACAGGAAGUGUUUGCGACAGGAAACGUCCGGCGACGGACAUUGCUGACAGGUGAGAGGCAGAAACACUGCAAAACGACUCGAUUGUUUUGUUGUACUGAUGUCAGCAAAGCUUACAAAUACUGUUGUAGUUUCGACUGCGUCUGAAAUGGAACUCCUUAUUAUGUUACAAGAUAGAUUGACCUUAGGGAGAUUGGAUUUGAGGGUGUGGACUGGAUGAAUCUGCCUAAGGAUAGGAACUGAAUACGGGCUUUUGUCAACACGACAGUGAACACACUGGUUUCAUUAAAUGUUAUAAAGUUUCUUGAUUGGCUUAAGGACUCCUACGAUGUUCAGUUUUCCAGAUGUAAUUUUAUAUUUGUCAUUUCCCGUGCGUUCUACAGUCCGUCCCAUCUCAUCCCACUUGAUUCUAUCACGUUAAUAAUAUUUGAUGAAGAUAAAUUAUUACGAUUCUUAGUAUGAAAUACAAGUGUGUCAAUGUAGGCGAUAUGAAUAAAUUAAGCAGACAAUUUAGACUGUCACAUAACGAGAAACGUGGUAAUUUGUGUGGGUUACCUUCUGUAUUGACUAUGGUUAAAUUAAUGUGUUGAUGGACUGGACAUAAUUUUGGCGUGGGAUGCGUAUGGAAAAGUGUAACUUAUAAGAUUAAGAAGGAAAUCGAAUGGUAACAUAAAGAUGAAUCUUAGACAAAAGGGCUGUGAGGACAAGGUUGGCGGUGGAUAUAUCUGUCCCGCUAUCGUGUUUAUCUGUGGGUCAUUGUAUCGGUUUGAAGCUUUGGGUUUAAUUACCAGAGAAUUAUUUAGUUAAAACUUUCUAUUUGUAGGUUAAUCAGAGCUGCAGUGAGUCGUAUUGUAUGGGUUUCUGUUCGUGAGAAAUUCAUAGCAUCGUAGGGGCCUAUCCUGCAGUCCGUAAUCAAUAUGCUUUUAUAAGUGGCCCAGUCAUUGUGAUCUGAGUGCACUGACAUUUGUCUGCGACCCUAUUUGAUUUGUAAAGGCUCGGAGUUUUAGAAGUUGGGGUGGGGUUCGGGUCUUUAAUAUUGUACUACAGCGAAAUUUUGACAACUGAAUGAUCUUAAUUUUCCAUGGAAGAGAGAUAUCUCGAUCCAGACACAUUUAAUAAGUAGUGUAGAAGGACAGAACCUUGAACCUUCCAGAGUUAAAAGUAAUGCGAAAUUUUAAAAUGUUUUAUUAAGUUGAUUUUGUUUGAGAUUUAAUUUUCUCGUGGGGUGAAGAUGUUGAUGUUGGUCUUGGGACGUCGUAUGGACUUGCAGGUAGAUAUCAACGUUUCGUAGGAAUAUUCUUUCUCUAUCUUCAGGGCUUCAUAGUAGUCUAUAUGGUCUUAAGGAGUAAGUGAUUAGGUGUUGAUGUUAGAACAUUUUAAUAGGUCCCAUGAGUAAAUCAGCUUGUGCAUAUAAUUCAAAAAUCAGUUUUGUGUAUUGCCAUGGUUAAGAAUGUAAAUAUCUUUAGUUUUCUUCACCGACGUGGUGUUCAGAUAUCUGGCAAUUCACCUUACGUUCUGUGCUGUUCAUUGCCCUUUGAACCCACGAUCUGAGUAUGGAUUGAGGGCAGCUUCGUGUUCUUACUCAAUACCGUGAGAAAAUAAAUUCGAGAUGUUUAGGGAUAACCUCCUAACAAUAAAUGCAAAUAUCGAGCUGAAAGUGGAGAGAGAAUAAUCGCUGAAUUGUAAAUUACACCCCCAUCCGAGCCGCGCAUGCGUAGAGCGUGUGAGAACGCGUGCCUAAAUGUGGUUCCCACGAGUGUCCCCUCUCCUCUACAUCCCAUGAAUGUGACUGUCCACGCGCCACAGCUGCGUCCACUAUGAGGUUGGCCACCCGCACAACAAGCCACGCCUCCAGCCCUAAUACAUCUGGGAUUACAAUUGGGGGGUUAUAUAGGCGUAUGGGGAUGGAUGUAUCAUGCUCCAUUCGUGUUUCAUCCAACACACAGUUCACGACAGUCUGAAGUUGUCAAAUUUUGAGACUUUCUUGUCAUCUUGCUGUGGAGACUGGAACAAUCUUUUGACGAAAUGGCUCCAUUUCCGAUCCGCAAGAUUGUCUGUAGCACUGGAAAGAAGUGUAUGAAGGUAAUAAAGAAACUUGCAAAUCCGAGAAGGCAGACCGAAACACGGUCUCCAGACCCGCGCAGUCCUCUGACAGACCAAAUAGUCCAGCUGCCUGCAGUAACAGAGAACCUCAGCGCUGUGACGUCAUGCACAGAGGACUGCAAGAGCAACGUCACUACAGUCACGUGGCUUGAUGACGUCAGAGAUCUUGAAGACAUGGAGAACCGCUUGAACGAAGCUCUCGAGUUAAAGAUGAUGAAAAUGGUCUGACUUAAGGGCAGCCCAUGGCUGCUGUGGCCAGCUUUAAUAAAUAAGCAGCCUGAUGUUGUUUAUUGUCCGCGUCUUCUUGAAGUUUUUAAAGAAGGAAGGAGGGAGGUUUAGAUGAUACGCUCUGCGCAUGCUCAGUAACACUGUCCAACAUAACGUGUUUUUGUUGUACCCGCAGAAAGAAAGACAGAGGGUUAGGUUCGAUUAGUUUACGUUGAUUUGAUCCUCGCAAAUGAAACAACGUGAUGUUUGUAAAUGUUGAGAUAGUGGUAGUAUCAGAAGCGAAUGUUUUCUGAUUUUAUAAGAGAUUUCUUUUCAGCACUUGCUAAAAUUAUUCCUUGAAAUGUGGAUUAAUGAGUAAAAAUAUUUUUUUGCAGCGUUACGGAAAAUGUAUUCUUUCUCACUUUUUUCCGAAGACUGUGGUGGUAAAGUAUCAGACAAACUUGAGUACUAUCCUAAUCUAGUCAAAGUAUCCAACACAAGUGACUCAAAGUGGUCAGAGGAAAUGUAAAUAAUAUGUUGUUCAAUUAAAUUCAGAUAUCUUCUUUAAUUAGUACGUAAGAAGUAGCUAAUGCAUAUACUAAUUAGUGCCUUUGAUUUAAUAUAUAAGUAUAUAAAAGUGAUGUACAGUAUUAUGCCUAUUGGUCGAAUAAAGGUAAAAUUUCUUA